CUGGCAGCCAUGUUGGUUAAGAAGUGGACUGUACAUUAUCAAUUGCAGUUUUUUAGAAGCCAAGCUGCAGUCAACACACAGAAGCAAAAGGUCCUCAUGUAAUUCACAAGGCUGAUGGACCUCAGUUCAUUCUAUGAGCAUCUGGACAGCCGUCUAUUCAGUGGUUCAGGUCAAAUGAGGGGGUUAAAGAAAUUACAUCCAUACUGGAACGUCUUCACAAGGAUGCAUCGAAUCAAAGACAGUUGGGCAGCAGUGUUGCAGGGCCUACCAGGGUACAUGAGGAAGAAUCCUGCAUUCCUGAAGAUGUGUGAGGUAAGAGUUUAUCAUUCAAAAACAGAC